GGCUCAGGAGCAGGAUGCAGUGUCUGGCUCAUAGUGUCCUGCCUCCAAUGUGGGGAGUUUUCCUUCUUUACGUUUUUCUGACAGUGGGAGGAGGAAUUAUGAAAGACAUGGGUUAAAGAAUAUCAAUCAGCUGAAUUACCCCUGCAUAAUAGGAGAAAACUGAGAUUUUACUUAUUUGUUUUUAGAGAGAAAGUAAAGGAAAAAGAGAGGGAGAGAAGCAUGGAUGUGCAAGAAAAUCGUCAAUUGUUUGCCUCUGGUAUACACCCUGGCCUAGGACUGAAUCUGCAACCCAGACAUGUGUCCUAAGCCAAAAUUGAACCAGCAACGUCUUGCCAUGUGGGACGCUGCCCAACCAAUUGAACCACAUUGGUCAGGGCAUUAAUAUUUACUUGCAUUUAG